rnacentral:rRNA from 1 species
UACGGGGGGGGGAAGCGUUGUUCGGAAUUACUGGGCGUAAAGGGCUCGUAGGCGGCCAACUAAGUCAGACGUGAAAUCCCUCAGCUUAACUGGGGAACUGCGUCUGAUACUGGCAAGCUUGAGUGCAGGAGAGGAACGCGGAAUUCCAGGUGUAGCGGUGAAAUGCGUAGAGAUUGGGAAGAACACCAGUGGCGAAGGCGGCUAUCUGGACGGUUUCUGACACUAAGACGCGAAAGCGUGGGGAGCAAACAGG